AUUGCCAUGGCUUUUUGGGGUUGUAAUAAUCUUCUCCGACGUUGCAAUAAUUAGGUACUUAUUGCAACCAUAAUCCUAAAUGGACACAAUAUAUCAUGUUACUUUUGCCAUGAUUUUUUGUAUUGCUAUAGGCUAGUGUCCUUGUUGUAAUACAACGUUGUGGGCAACACUUGUAUUGCUAGGUGUUUUUAUUUUAUUUGCUAUAUUGAACUUUAGCAUGGCAUGAAAAAUGAUAACAAAAAUAAAAAUGGGUCAAACUAUUUUAUUUGAAAUCAUUUACUAUUAUAGAAUUAUGUCUGAGGUCUCAUAUACUUAAUCUUAAGUGUGUCAUGGAAAAAAUAAUAAGUACAAUAAAAAUGAAGCAACUACCAAGAUUUGAAAUUGCAACCUCAACCCCCAAGGAGAAACCAACACCCUCAUGACCACUAAAGCAAUUGCUUGUUUAUGCAAUAUCUACCUUUUUAUUUUAUUUGUUAUGUUAAACUUUGCCAUGACGUGAAAAAACAAUAGGAAAAAUAAAAAUAGACCAAAAUAUGUUAUUUUAAAUUAUUUACUAUCGUCAGAAUAUGUUCAAAGUUCUCACACACUAAUCCUUAGCGUGCCUUGGAAAAAAUCUUACAUACCAAUCCUUAGUGUGCCGUGGAAAAAAAUCUCACAUACCGGUCCUUAGUGUGCCAUGAAAAAAAUGAUAAGAAAAAUAAAAAAAGGCAACUACCAAGACUUCAACUUGCUACCUCAACCACCAAGGGUAAAGCAACACCACAAUAACCGCUAGACCACUUGCUUUUUAUGUAAUAUCUAGUUUUUUAUUUUAUUUGUUAUGUCAAACUUUAGCAUGACCUGAAAAAAUGAUGAAAAAUAAAAAUAGACCAAUUUUUUUAUUUUAAAUCAUUUACUAUUUUCAAAUUAUUAAGCAUGUGUUGGAAAAAUAAUAAGAAAAAAAUGAGGCAGCCACCAAGAUUUGAACCCACAACCUCAUCACCAAGGUAACAACCACUACCACCAAACCACAUGCAUUUUUAUGCAAUAUCUAGUGUUUGGUUUUAUUGUUACAUUAACUUUAGCAUAAUGUGGAAAAAAUGCAAAGAAAAAUAAAAAUUGGACAAACGCCGAGAUUUAAACAUGCAUCUCACGCCCCAAGAGGUCAAUAAGACCCCCACUACCACUAGACCACUUGCAUGUUUACACACUAUCUUGUGUUUCAUUUUAUUUGUUAUAUUAAACUUUAGCAUGGCAUACAACAAAUGAUAAGAAAAAAAAUUUAGGUAACCACUAAGAUUUGAACUUGCAUCUCACUCCCCAAGUGGAUGGCAAUAUACCUACUACCACUAAACCACUUACAUGUUUGUGAAAGAUUUAAUGUUUUAUUUUAUUUGUUAUAGGAUCCAUAGCUUGAGUUAUCACGACAUAAUGAAAUUGUAAACUGUUCAAACAAUAUAAGAUAGAAAAAUGACUCGAAAGAAAGUUAUAGAUCUCAAUGAAUUCUACAACUUUCUUGUGAAUGCCUUUUUCAUUUAAUAUCAUUUAGUGCCCCAAAAAUACAUUCAAAGUUCUCAUAUUUCAAAUUCAAAUUUCCAAUUGUUCAAAUAAAAUUUGAUAGAGAAAUGACCAAAACAAAAGUUGUAGAUCUCGAUGAGUUAUACAAUUUUAUUGUUGAUGACUUUUCCAUUUAAAAAAUCAUUUAAUG
rnacentral:lncRNA from 1 species